GAUUGAACGCUGGCGGCGUGCCUAACACAUGCAAGUCGAGCGGUAACAGGUGUAGCAAUACAUGCUGACGAGCGGCGAACGGGUGAGUAAUGCUUCGGAAUCUACCCUCUAGUGGGGAAUAACCAGCCGAAAGGUUGGCUAAUACCGCAUACGUCCUACGGGAGAAAGCAGGGGAUCGUAAGACCUUGCGCUGAUGGAUGAGCCGAAGUCGGAUUAGCUAGUUGGUGGGGUAACGGCUCACCAAGGCGACGAUCCGUAGCUGGUCUGAGAGGACGACCAGCCACACUGGAACUGAGACACGGUCCAGACUCCUACGGGAGGCAGCAGUGGGGAAUAUUGGACAAUGGGGGAAACCCUGAUCCAGCGACGCCGCGUGUGUGAAGAAGGCCUGCGGGUUGUAAAGCACUUUUAGUGGGGAUGAAAUGUGCAGGGUUAAUACCUCUGCAUU
rnacentral:rRNA from 1 species